rnacentral:rRNA from 1 species
AGUGAACGCUGGCGGUAGGCCUAACACAUGCAAGUCGAACGGCAGCACAGUAAGAGCUUGCUCUUACGGGUGGCGAGUGGCGGACGGGUGAGGAAUACAUCGGAAUCUACUUUUUCGUGGGGGAUAACGUAGGGAAACUUACGCUAAUACCGCAUACGACCUCCGGGUGAAAGCAGGGGAUCUUCGGACCUUGCGCGAUUGAAUGAGCCGAUGUCGGAUUAGCUAGUUGGCGGGGUAAAGGCCCACCAAGGCGACGAUCCGUAGCUGGUCUGAGAGGAUGAUCAGACACACUGGAACUGAGACACGGUCCAGAAUCCUAAGGGAGGCAGCAGUGGGGAAUAUUGGACAAUGGGCGCAAGCCUGAUCCAGCCAUACCGCGUGGGUGAAGAAGGCCUUCGGGUUGUAAAGACCUUUUGUUGGGAAAGAAAAGCAGCAGGUUAAUACCCCGCUGUUCUGACGGUACCCAAAGAAUAAGCACCGGCUAACUUCGUG